rnacentral:rRNA from 1 species
AACGAACGCUGGCGGCAGGCUUAACACAUGCAAGUCGAACGCGUGUAGCAAUACACGAGUGGCGCACGGGUGAGUAACGCGUGGAUAUCUGCCUUUUGGUUCGGAAUAACCCCGGGAAACUGGGGCUAAUACCGGAUGGUUCCUUCGGGAUAAAGAUUUAUUGCCAAAAGAUGAGUCUGAGACCGAUUAGCUAGUUGGUGAGGUAACGGAUCACCAAGGCGACGACGGGUAGGGGACCUGAAAGGGGGGCCCCCAACAAUGGAACGGAAACACGGUCCAUACACCUACGGGUGGCAGCAGUAGGGAAUAUUAGUUAAUGUGCGAGAGCGCGAACUAGCAACGCCGCGUGCACGAUGAAGGCCUUCGGGUCGUAAAGUGCUUUUUGGUGGGAUGAGAAAGGACAGAACCACCAGAAUAAGUCUCGGCUAACUACGUGCCAGCCGCCGCGGUAA